CUGGAGGUAUCAGAAGUGCGAAUGCUGACAUAAGUAACGAUAAAGCGGGUGAAAAGCCCGCUCGCCGGAAGACCAAGGGUUCCUGUCCAACGUUAAUCGGGGCAGGGUGAGUCGACCCCUAAGGCGAGGCCGAAAGGCGUAGUCGAUGGGAAACAGGUUAAUAUUCCUGUACUUGGUGUUACUGCGAAGGGGGGACGGAGAAGGCUAUGUUGGCCGGGCGACGGUUGUCCCGGUUUAAGCGUGUAGGCUGGUUUUCCAGGCAAAUCCGGAAAAUCAAGGCUGAGGCGUGAUGACGAGGCACUACGGUGCUGAAGCAACAAAUGCCCUGCUUCCAGGAAAAGCCUCUAAGCAUCAGGUAACAUCAAAUCGUACCCCAAACCGACACAGGUGGUCAGGUAGAGAAUACCAAGGCGCUUGAGAGAACUCGGGUGAAGGAACUAGGCAAAAUGGUGCCGUAACUUCGGGAGAAGGCACGCUGAUAUGUAGGUGAAGUCCCUCGCGGAUGGAGCUGAAAUCAGUCGAAGAUACCAGCUGGCUGCAACUGUUUAUUAAAAACACAGCACUGUGCAAACACGAAAGUGGACGUAUACGGUGUGACGCCUGCCCGGUGCCGGAAGGUUAAUUGAUGGGGUUAGCCGCAAGGCGAAGCUCUUGAUCG
rnacentral:rRNA from 1 species